rnacentral:rRNA from 1 species
AGAGUUUGAUCCUGGCUCAGAUGUGAACGCUGGCGGCAUUGCCUUACACAUGCAAGUCGAACGGCAGCGCGGGGCAACCUGGCGGCGAGUGGCGAACGGGUGAGUAAUAUUAUCGGAACGUGCCCUAGAGUGGGGGAUAACGUAGCGAAAGUUACGCUAAUACCGCAUACGAUCUACGGAUGAAAGGGGGGGCUCGCAAAAGAACCUCUCGCUCCUGGAGCGGCCGAUAUCUGAUUAGACUAGUUGGUAUGGGUAUAAAGCCUACCCAGGGCCAACCAAUCAGUUAGCCGGUUCUGAAGAAGAACCAACCGCCCACACUGGGGACUGAGACACGGCCCAGACUCCUACGGGAGGCAGCAGUGGGGAAUUUUGGACAAUGGGGGAAACCCUGAUCCAGCAAUGCCGCGUGUGUGAAGAAGGCCUUCGGGUUGUAAAGCAC